UCUGGCAAUAAUGACACACUUGCCCUCACUAAGAAUAUUGUUCAACCGUGAGGACAUCACUUAUUCGCGACCUGACCCAGCCAGG